rnacentral:rRNA from 1 species
AGAGCGAACGCUGGCGGCAGGCCUAACACAUGCAAGUCGAGCGCCCGUAGCAAUACGGGAGCGGCAGACGGGAUAGUAACACGUGGGAACGCGCCCUUCGGUUCGGAAUAACUCAGGGAAACUUGAGCUAAUACCGGAUACGCCCUUACGGGGAAAGAUUUAUUGCCGAAGGAACGGCCCGCGUCCGAUUAGCUAGUUGGUGAGGUAAUGGCUCACCAAGGCGACGAUCGGUAGCUGGUCUGAGAGGAUGACCAGCAUCACUGGGACUGAGACACGGCCCAGACUCCUACGGGAGGCAGCAGUGGGGAAUAUUGGACAAUGGGCGCAAGCCUGAUCCAGCCAUGCCGCGUGGAUGAUGAAGGCCUUAGGGUUGUAAAGGCCUUUUAACGGGGAAGAUAAUGACGGUACCGUAGAAUAAGCCCCGGCUAACGUUCGUGCCAGCAGCCGC